rnacentral:tRNA from 1 species
GGAGAGUAUAGCUCAGUGGUAAAGUGUAUGCUUAAUAUGAAUGAGGUCCUGGGUUCAAUCCCCAGUACCUCCA